UGCAGGUCUUGGGAUGGCCAUGUUCGGUCUCGAUAAGAUCAUUAAUAUGCUCGUCAUGUUCAGUCUCGGUAAGAUCAUUGAUAUGCUCAUUCGACGUGAGGGGUGUCAUCAUGAAAUAUGACAGUCCUGAACAAAUUCUUGAAGAAUUCUUUCAUUUAAGACUUGAGUUCUAUGUAAAGAGAAAGAAAGUAAUGUUGGAUAAUCUUGAAAUAAAGCUGUUGAGAUUGUUUAACAAAGUCAAAUUCAUCAUUGGAGUGGUAGAAGGAGAGAUUAUUGUGAGUAACAGGAAGAGAGCAGAUCUGGUCCUUGAGUUGCAG